AAACUGGAUCAGCAUGAAAUAGAAGAGGAUGGGGAUGCGUCUGAUGACCCUAAAGACCUCUGUGCUCCUAAAAAAACUGAUCCAAGAUUGAUCAUUUCAACACCUGAGAAACUUGCACUGCAGAUGAAAAUGAAAGUUAUGUUAAAAAGAAUGUCAGUGACAAGGAGUGACUGUCCGACCACCACUAUGAACCAUCUAAUAGAAGGUUUGUGUUGAUAUAUCCUCAUUUUCACAACUUUUUCUUGUCAGUGUUCAGGUUUGUAGUUGACUAUGGUUUAUGUCGAUCAUGUAGAUCGAGUAAUAUGUAAAACAGCAUGAAGCCCUACUUAACUGAGAACACAGCUAAGAGUUGCUAAAGAGU